rnacentral:lncRNA from 1 species
CCACUCAAUUGUGUCAAAAACCAAACCCAAACUUGCCCAACAAAUUACCCCAAAACAUCUCAAACACAAGAAUCAAUUUCAGAUUACUCAAUACCACCCACAUCCACAUGCCCAGAUUACUUUCGGUGGAUCCACGAAGAUCUAAGCCCCUGGAAAGUCACAGGAAUCACAAGGGACAUGUUAGAAAGAGCCAAUCAAACGGCUCAUUUUCGUCUAAUACUCGUCAACAACAAAGUAUAUAUCCACAAGUACAAACAAUCAAUACAAACUAGAGACGUUUUCACCAUAUGGGGCAUCUUGCAACUCCUUAGAAAGUAUCCCGGAAGAUUACCGGACUUGGAGCUUAUGUUUGACUGCGAUGACCGCCCCGUCAUCCGAUCACGCGACUACAGCGGGCCAAACAACAAGGGCCCACCUCCGUUGUUUCGGUACAGUGGUGACAGGUGGACGAUGGAUAUAGUGUUUCCUGAUUGGUCCUUCUGGGGAUGGUAAUGACUUCUUCUUCUUCUUCUUCAU